GUUUGGUUUGGUUGUUGUUGUUGUUUUUUUUUUUUAAGUUUUAUAUUUUUGAGAUAGAGUCUCACUCUGUAGCCUAGACUAGCUUUGAACUUGUGAUCCUUCUGUCUCAGCUUGUCAGGUACCAGGAUUGCAGAUGUGUACCACUGUGCAUGGCUCCUCCUUUUUAAGUCAAAAGGUUUACAUUUCAUCUCUGAAAGUGGUUAGAAUAGAAUAGUUUUAAAGUUUUCUUUCUAGAAAGAAAAAUACUCUUGUUUGCCUAGGUUUUUUUCAUAGUGCUUAUGAUAGUAGCUGUGUUUUCCUUGGGGCACUCUUGCUCUUCCCCUGUACACACCUUUAUUCAUGAGCUCCACCUGUUUCAUGAACAAGUAGGACGCUCCCCUCAGCUCAUUGUCGCCAUAUGAUCUGGCAGAAUGCUCACCCGUGGUUCUAGCCCAAGUAUUAGCCCCUGCCUUAAGAUGUCCCAGGAUGAGAGAGCAGCUUUAGUUAUAUGAUAACAUGGCUUUGUUUAAGUAGCACAAGUAUAACUGCUCUAGCAGAUACUAAGAAACUAUCAGCCAGCCCACUGAUGAACCAUUUAGCUAAACCACAGUAUAAUUUUUUUAAAAAGCUAAAUGAUAUCUCAGGGCCUUGAAAGUUAAGAAUCUUUUGCAAAGUGGACUUAGGGAGGACUGGGGUUUGGCCAAUGAGCUGGCUUUGUGCACAGCACCUGCAGAGAGAUCCCAGCACUUACAGUGGGCCACUGAGACAAGUCCAGCUACUUACCUUUUACAGUUCCGGUUCCGUAGACAUUAGCCACUGACUGUGACAGGCCACAACUGCUUCUACAGUCCUUCACCACACGGGGGUAUUUGCCUCUCCUUCUUUCCCUUUCUUUUUUUCCAAGUAAGUAUGAAAGUAGAAAAAUGUAGACAAACAAAUGUGGGAUUUUAAAGUUGAGUUUUAGGUAAACUAGAGAUUCCUGUGUGGACAGUGUUAGUUUAAUAUUGUAGUUACAAAGGCAGACACUUUAUGUAACCUUUAGACAUAUGUUUACCAUCAGGGAUUUAUUUUUACAAUAGAAAUAUUAAAUGUACUGUGAAGCUUAAAGACAGGAAGACUAGACGUUGGAGGGUGAUACUCAGACAAAAGUGUGUUUGGUGAGGUACCCGCGUUAUGUGAACAUGACUUCCCCUUCUGUUAAGACUAUAAACUACACUGUAAGAGUGUGUGUGUUGCAUGUUUACAUAAAACAAUUUCAUUCUGAAGGAUUAUUUCAACUAUGUUUAUAUGUAAUACCUAACAGGUUGUAAAUAGUGUAUACUAUUGAUUUUUAAUUUUAUAUGAGCGAUUUUUUUAUUUCCCAAGUCAUGUACAAAUCUCAUUGUGUAUAUAGCAUAACUCCCUGGAGACACAAAUUUUGCAGUGAAUUUUAAGUAUUUUAAUCGCUGUAAGCAUCAUGUUAGCCUCAGAGAUGCUGGUCCUUAUUUUAAAUUAUUUUUCACCACACAUUUUCUUCAAAGGGCAGCAAUAAACAUAUGCAAGUUAUUUUGGUUCUUGAAAGUUGGCCUCAGAAGAUAAGAGUGCAGUUCAAUUCACAGCUGUAAAGAAAAGAUGCACAACUUACACCAUCCGCGUCUGGUCCCAGGACAACUUCUGAGAUCCAUCUGCACAUGGCUCUCCUCUUUGUAAUAUACAGGGUGAACUGUUGAAAACACACAGGACAUCUGUCACAGUGAAUCCAGCACUUCAGUGUCAUUACACAGAAUUUAUUGGAUUAAAGUUUGUAAUAUACAGUAUUUUAAUAAAGUUUCUGUAUUCAAUUUCAUGCACUUAUAUAUAUAAAUAAACCUGUCUUUAAAAACU
rnacentral:lncRNA from 1 species